ACACACACACACACACACACUGAGAUGCACAGGUUCUCCUGAACCCAUCACCCAGCCAUCUGUGCAGUGAGAGGAGGGGGGGGGGGGGGGCGAAUGAUGACAGUUGACCUGAAACAUUCAUCAUCUCACUCUCCAUGAUCCAUAAUCAUCUGCUUCUCUCUACCGGUCCAGGGUUUGGGGACAAAAACGAGGAUAUUGGAAUUUGUCGCCCACCUGUAAAAAUGUCUGUGUCCUUGUUAGAGCCCGACCGAGAUGUGGGCGGAUUGUAUUUGUCACAGAUAAAUCAGUUUAUGUAUCAAUAAUGACGACUGCUGAUGAGAAAUGUUGGCACUGAAAUGGUCAUUUAGACGAGUUGAUGGACGGCUGCAUCUUAAUAUUGAAUCAUCUGCUGAGGAUUCUUCUUUUUUUUUUCUUCAUUGAUCAAUAUAUCGUUUUGUGUAAAUUAGUGGAAAAAUGUGGCCGUGGGUCCAAACUUUAAAGAUAUUCAGAUCAACUUCAUAUGUGACUAAAAAAUGUUCCAAAUUGGAGA